UUUAUGGUAGAAUGACCUUAUCAUCUUCCAACAAACUCAGGAAAUGCAUGCUCUGAUGUGUUGAAGUUGAGGAUUUCGAGAAAGAAUGAAAGCUGUAGCAGAAAACAUAGGGCUGAGAUCUCUCCAAGGUGAUUGUGGGGAGGUUCACCAAUUGACCUUAGUGAAAUCAAAACAGAAAAAUGGUUCAUUUGUGUUUGGAGGGGCGGCCUUCAUCUGAUCUGACCACAUGGAAAAGCUCUCUUUGUGUUGAUGAAGAAUUCUUCAUCUCAAACAAGAAAAACUGAUGUUAAACACUGGGGGGCACGUCAUCGUUUGGUUUUCUUGCAAGAAAACCAAUGUUAAACUGAUGAUAAACUGAUGUUAAACUGAUGUUAAAGCUCGUAUUGUUGAAGUUCAAUUUCCUCUUGUCCCGCAUUGAAAGAUUAUAGCUUUGUCUAUGAAUUCUUCAA